rnacentral:lncRNA from 1 species
GUUACGCUAGUUUUUCUUCGAAAAUAAACAAAUACCAAUGAAUUCAUAGGAGGAAACGUAAAAGAGUCGUGCAGCCUACUGUCAACUAUUUUGUUCAAAAUCAUUGUAUUUUACUGAAUGUGCCAUCAAAAUGAUACAGGAUUCAACAUAAUUAUCUGCUGUGUGUAUUGGACUUGCUAGAUCACCAACCCCAGCAUGGAACAAUCUCUCAUUCCAUCAUCUAGAGAACCUUAUCAUCUGAAUAACUGAUCAGUGGUUUCAUGUAGACAAUUUCAAGUGCAUACUGAUAACUGUUUAAUUAUUCUUAAUUACAUCAUAGACGUCAAGCACAUUGAGGACACAAAUUAUAAACAAGACUUUAUGAAAAGUCCUGUCAUUUCAAGAAAGUCAUCAAGGUCCGUUGCUUGCUGACCCAUUGGAUGCUACCCUUGAAUCCUCCUUAUUGACUUCUUUACACAGGACCUCCUGAUUUGAGGUAUUACUUUCUGUCGCUACAAUCUUGCUUGAAUAUUAUUGCCAUCCAAAUAAAUGUUCAUU